UUUUUAACUUAACUGGGUGGAUGAGGAAGGAGACGGGGGGAGCUGUGAUUUGGAAGUAGCGUUUGUCUUUUCCUUUCUUUAAAGCGAGGCAGCUUCUUUGGGU